rnacentral:rRNA from 1 species
GACGAACGCUGGCGGCGUGCCUAAUACAUGCAAGUUGAGCGCUGAAGGUUGGUACUUGUACCAACUGGAUGAGCAGCGAACGGGUGAGUAACGCGUGGGAAAUCUGCCUUUGAGCGGGGGACAACAUUUGGAAACGAAUGCUAAUACCGCAUAAAAACUUUAAACACAAGGUUUAAGUUUGAAAGAUGCAAUUGCAUCACUCAAAGAUGAUCCCGCGUUGUAUUAGCUAGUUGGUGAGGUAAAGGCUCACCAAGGCGAGGAUACAUAGCCGACCUGAGAGGGUGGUCAGCCAGAUUGAGAGUGAGACACGGCCCAAACGCCUACGGGAGGCAGCAGUAGGGAUUCUUGGGCAAUGGACGAAAGUCUGACCGAGCAACGCCGAGGGAGUGAAGAAGGUUGUCGGAUCGGAAAACUCUGUUGGUAGGGAAGAACGUUGGUGAGAGUGGAAAGCUCAUCAAGUGACGGUAACUACCCAGAAAGGGACGGCUAACUACGUG